UACGGGGGGAUGCAAGCGUUAUCCGGAAUUAUUGGGCGUAAAGGGUCCUGAGGUGGCUAGCCAAGUCUAUUGUGAAAUAUCAGGGCUUAACCCUGAACAUGCGGUGGAAACUAGAAAGCUUGAGUACAGUAGGGGCGGAGGGAAUUUCCGGUGGAGCGGUGGAAAUGCAUAGAUAUCGGGAAGAACACCAACGGCGAAAGCACUCCGCUGGGCUGAUACUGACACUGACAGACGAAAACUCGGUAGGAGAAAGGG
rnacentral:rRNA from 1 species